CAGAGUUCAUGCCCUUCGGGGUAGAUCUCCCACCCUUUGUAUUUAUACUCUUGUUGCUUUGGCAGGCCGCUGGGCUCCGGCCUAGCCACCGGCUCUCGCUGGUGUGCGCCUGCCAGAGGUUAUCAAACUCUGAAUGUUAGUGUCGUCUGAGUACUAUAUAAUAGUUA
rnacentral:misc_RNA from 1 species